GAUUGCAAUUUUGAAAUAAGUAAGUUAUCUGUAUUAGAGUAAUUUUCUAUUGAAUGCUCUCCAUAUGUUAUACUCCAUAUUUUAAUUGAAUUACUAGAAAAUAGUUCAGUUUAUCUUAUUACAUUUUAUAUGUUAAUAUUAUUAAGAAGCUUUUAGACAAAUCAUCCACAGUUUCAAUUUAAAAAAUGGAAAAUGUUGCAAUAUUUGCAGAGAUUGGUGAAGAGGUUGAUGAACAUAACCCUAUAUUUUUAUCAGAAUCUGAAAUUGCAAAUAAUGAUAUGGAAGUCAAAACAGAAUUAAACGAGUUUGUGUCAGGUACAGAAGCUGAUAACCACAACUGUAAUGAAGAAUCUUUGAACUUGGAAGAGAAAGAAGAAAGCAAAAUACCAGGUCUCUUUGCCCCAUUCAAUCAUGGUAUGAAACCUGAUUUUGAAUACAUUCGUUUGGAAUUGGAAAGGUCUGUUUCAAACCAAGAAGCUGCUACGAAAAUUAUAAAUGAUCGCUAUAAAUUAAUUACAGAGAAUGCUGCAAAGCAUAAAAUGAAAGAAGAAAAGGACAAAAUGACUUUCACCCAGUUAUCCCAUUCUGUGGAUAUUGAAGAUAUUAUAAAAACUACUGAAUUACUUUGUAAUUUACAUAUUACUUCUACCUCCCCUUCUAAAGACCAGUUAGAAGUUUCUGACAGCUAUCUAGAGAAUAUUUACUGGAAUGAUAAUUUAUAUGAAUUUAUUAAUUUGAAUGAUAUUGAAAUUGAUACAAAGGCAAAAAUCUCAAAUGUUGACAUGCAAAAUUCUGUAACUGACCAUCUUGAAUAUGGAGUGGAAGACUUCAUAAGCCAUGAGAGGAAUGAACAGAUGGAUGGAGAAAAAAGUUUCACCUUCACCCAAAUGUCUCAAGAGCUGGAUACUGCAAAAUUUAUGAAAAAUAUCGAAUCAGCUUUUGAAAAGCUUGAGGACGAUGACUCUUCUUGCGAAGAUGAAUGUAUUGAAUUCCAUUGUGGAAUUAAUAAAGGAGAUGAUGGUUUUGACUGCAGACGUCAAUAGGAUUGAAAUUUUGCGUAUAUGCAACUGUACAUAUAUAGCAAACACAAUUAACAUUUACAUUUUUUAAGGACUUUUUUUAAGUCUUUUUAAAAUUUAACUAAAAUUUUAUGUAUUUUAUGUCAAGUUUUGAUUAUGGGUUCUUUUACAGUAAGAAAAAAAUAUUACAUUUUGUAUUAAGGCUAAUAAUGUAAAAUUCAAUGCUGUAUAUUAAUUGAAUAAUCAAGAGUCAUGCAUAUUAUUGAUGUUCUGAUUGAAACAUCUGGCUAAAUAUUCUUUUCAGUCAUGUCCGUUUUGUCCACACCAAUGUGCAUCAGGGCAACUAAAAAGGCAUUUGCGUAAACACACUGGAGAGAGACCUUUUGUAUGCAAGAUAUGCAAGAAAAGUUAUACUCGGAAACAUAAUUUGCAGUAUCAUUUGCUGAUACAUCAGAGUUCAUCUUCUAGUGUUCCAAAACGCAAAAAUUGAAUGUUAACAUUCAUCAUUUAUGAUAAUAUAAUAAUUAUAAUAGAAUAUAUACUUUUAAUUAUAUACUUUUUAAAUUAACAAAUACCACACAGAAUUUUUAUUGAAAUUCUAGCAUAGCCUAGUUAUUACAAAAUGAAAUGUUAGUUGAAAAUAUGAUGUUUGUUAUUUUUGUAUAAAGUAUUCAUUUUAUUUAUUCAAACGCGAGAGAGCCGUUUGUUGUUUUCUAGAGAUAUUCAGACGUUGACACCAACCAAAGUACCAAGGGUGAGCAGGUAGGACUCUCCAAAGUGCACUCAACUCCAUCUUUUUGAUAGAGAAGAUUUCAGAAUAAGUUAGUGUUACAUCUCUAUGAAAUAUGUCAGCUGAGGCAGUCUUAGCUAAGUUAUCCACUAUCUCAUUACCAUUUAAACCAACAUGUGAGGGGACCCAUUGAAAGUGUAUAGAGUGUUCUGCGGAGAGCCUGGCAAUAAGGUCUAAGAUAUUCAUGCUAAUCUUGUCCCCCACUUUCAUCCAAUGAGAAAGGUGCUGUAUAGAGGCAUGAAUGUCCUUAAAAUCCAAAUGUCCCCGAAGACAAUUUCAGAGGACGUGUCGAUAUAUUGAAGUCCCUUAUAGAUAGCAAUAAGUUCGGACCUGAAUACAAAACAGUUGAUAGGAUUUCUAAUCAAAAUAUCAGUAGCUCCUUCAGGAGUCUCAAUGUGCAUGCCACUACCAGAAAAACCACCAUCUCCUUUACUGCCAUCAGUGUACAUUUUCAGAGCUGAAGAUGGAAUGCUCUGAAUUGUUUCCAGUGACAUUUGUCUAGUAAAUUCAGGUAACUCUUAAUUUUUGCUAUUCUUGGCCAAGAGAUCAGUAUGGAAAUGAAUUCAUUUAGGGUCAAACUUAAAAUUCCAAUAAGGCUUUAAGGAAUGUGGUUCCACAUCUCCAGAAGGUAGACUUAUCUCUUUUGUGAAGGAAAAAGAACUGUGUUUCUUUAAACAUUUAUUAUUAUGCCAUGAAUGAAGAUAAGCAGAAGUUCUGUGCUGAUCAUUGUAGCUAAAGAGCUUGUUGUAAUAUUUAUAAAAUGGUGUAAUGGACAGAUAAAAUCAUUGUAAUAUUUAUAAAAUAAUGUAAUGGUGCAAGUACAGAUUAAACAUGUAAAUUAAAUAUAUUGGCUAUGAUGGUCUUAUUAAGACCAUUAAACUGCUAAGCAUUAAUGGUCUUAAUAAGUUUUAUAUAGAAGCACAAUGUAGAAACAUGGAUAUACAUGUACUAUACUUGAAACAACCUUAUUGUUAGGGUAGUCAAAUUUGUGACAUAUGUCCAUGACUUUCUUACCAAUUUGAACUAAUCCAAGAAUUUGUAUGUUUAGAAUAUCAUAACUUAUGGGUAGAAUGCUCAGUAUUCCUAUAAUUUUAGUAUGUUUUUGCUGCAUUUUUUUGUGUUUCAUAUAUCUGUCUGCUUUUU